AUACCUAUCCCACUUGAAGUAACAAAAGUAAUUUCUCAGAUAUUUAUGGGGAGAUAGGAGUAUCAGCACCAUUUACAGUGACGAAAUCAGACCAUUCAGCGUGUUAUGUUGACAAUUUAAAUGUACAUCUCUGCAGGUCAACCACUGUUUGUGUUACUGUGUUUGACAAGGUCGUAAAUCUCCUCCAUGACAAGUUCGAACUCUUGGGUGUGAAGCCUAUCCAAUGGUUGCAACAAACAUAAAUCCCAAAUUUGUUGGUGGUUGUUUAUUCUACAAUGAAAGCCUAGCCACGCAUGGACUUUUAAAAGAGUUUUUUGUGGAGGUGAGGCUGGUUCCAAGUAUGGUGAUCUUAAGAAACUUGAGUCAGUCACGCUCCAGGAGCUUAAUAGCUAUGUUUCUCAAUUCAACCCCCCAUGUACGUCCACUU